rnacentral:rRNA from 1 species
CCCUACGGGGGGCAGCAGUGGGGAAUUUUGGACAAUGGGCGCAAGCCUGAUCCAGCUAUUCCGCGUGUGGGAUGAAGGCCCUCGGGUUGUAAACCACUUUUGUAGAGAACGAAAAGACACCUUCGAAUAAAGGGUGUUGCUGACGGUACUCUAAGAAUAAGCAUCGGCUAACUCCGUGCCAGCAGCCGCGGUAAUACGGAGGAUGCGAGCGUUAUCCGGAUUUAUUGGGUUUAAAGGGUGCGUAGGCGGUCCGUUAAGUCAGCGGUAAAAUUGCGGGGCUCAACCCCGUCGAGCCGUUGAAACUG